rnacentral:rRNA from 1 species
UACAGAGGGUGCUAGCGUUGUUCGGAAUCAUUGGGCGUAAAGGGUUCGUAGGUGGCCAACUAAGUCAGACGUGAAAUCCCUCAGCUUAACUGGGGAACUGCGUCUGAUACUGGUGUGGCUUGAGUGCAGGAGAGGAACGCGGAAUUCCAGGUGUAGCGGUGAAAUGCGUAGAUAUCAGGAGGAACACCGGUGGCGAAGGCGGCCCUCUGGACGGUGACUGACGCUGAGACGCGAAAGCGUGGGGAGCAACAGG